rnacentral:rRNA from 1 species
AUUGAACGCUGGCGGCAGGCCUAACACAUGCAAGUCGAGCGAGCGGCGGACGGGUGAGUAAUGUAUGGGAAUCUGCCUGAUGGAGGGGGAUAACUACUGGAAACGGUAGCUAAUACCGCAUACCAUCAGAUGCACCCAGAUGGGAGUAGCUAGUAGGUGAGGUAACGGCUUACCUAGGCGACGAGCCCUAGCUGGUCUGAGAGGAUGAUCAGCCACACGGGGACUGAUACACGGCCGAGACUCCUACGGGAGGCAGCAGUGGGGAAUAUUGCACAAUGGGCGCAAGCCUGAUGCAGCCAUGCCGCGUGUAUGAAGAAGGCCUUCGGGUUGUAAAGUACUUUCAGUCGGGAGGCGUUACCGGCAGAAGAAGCACCGGCUAACUCCGUGCCAGCAGCCGCGGUAAUUC